AUGAACGCUAGCUACAGGCUUAACACAUGCAAGUCGAGGGGCAUCAGGAAGAAAGCUUGCUUUCUUUGCUGGCGACCGGCGCACGGGUGAGUAACACGUAUCCAACCUGCCCUUUACUCGGGGAUAGCCUUUCGAAAGAAAGAUUAAUACCCGAUAGCAUAAUGAUUCCGCAUGGUUUCAUUAUUAAAGGAUUCCGGUAAAGGAUGGGGAUGCGUUCCAUUAGGUUGUUGGUGAGGUAACGGCCCACCAAGCCUUCGAUGGAUAGGGGUUCUGAGAGGAAGGUCCCCCACAUUGGAACUGAGACACGGUCCAAACUCCUACGGGAGGCAGCAGUGAGGAAUAUUGGUCAAUGGGCGCUAGCCUGAACCAGCCAAGUAGCGUGAAGGAUGAAGGCUCUAUGGGUCGUAAACUUCUUUUAUAUAAGAAUAAAGUGCAGUAUGUAUACUGUUUUGUAUGUAUUAUAUGAAUAAGGAUCGGCUAACUCCGUGCCAGCAGCCGCGGUAAUACGGAGGAUCCGAGCGUUAUCCGGAUUUAUUGGGUUUAAAGGGAGCGUAGGUGGACUGGUAAGUCAGUUGUGAAAGUUUGCGGCUCAACCGUAAAAUUGCAGUUGAUACUGUCAGUCUUGAGUACAGUAGAGGUGGGCGGAAUUCGUGGUGUAGCGGUGAAAUGCUUAGAUAUCACGAAGAACUCCGAUUGCGAAGGCAGCUCACUGGACUGCAACUGACACUGAUGCUCGAAAGUGUGGGUAUCAAACAGGAUUAGAUACCCUGGUAGUCCACACAGUAAACGAUGAAUACUCGCUGUUUGCGAUAUACAGUAAGCGGCCAAGCGAAAGCAUUAAGUAUUCCACCUGGGGAGUACGCCGGCAACGGUGAAACUCAAAGGAAUUGACGGGGGCCCGCACAAGCGGAGGAACAUGUGGUUUAAUUCGAUGAUACGCGAGGAACCUUACCCGGGCUUAAAUUGCAGUGGAAUGAUGUGGAAACAUGUCAGUGAGCAAUCACCGCUGUGAAGGUGCUGCAUGGUUGUCGUCAGCUCGUGCCGUGAGGUGUCGGCUUAAGUGCCAUAACGAGCGCAACCCUUAUCUUUAGUUACUAACAGGUUAUGCUGAGGACUCUGGAGAGACUGCCGUCGUAAGAUGUGAGGAAGGUGGGGAUGACGUCAAAUCAGCACGGCCCUUACGUCCGGGGCUACACACGUGUUACAAUGGGGGGUACAGAAGGCAGCUAGCGGGUGACCGUAUGCUAAUCCCAAAAGCCUCUCUCAGUUCGGAUCGAAGUCUGCAACCCGACUUCGUGAAGCUGGAUUCGCUAGUAAUCGCGCAUCAGCCACGGCGCGGUGAAUACGUUCCCGGGCCUUGUACACACCGCCCGUCAAGCCAUGGGAGCCGGGGGUACCUGAAGUACGUAACCGCAAGGAUCGUCCUAGGGUAAAACUGGUGAC
rnacentral:rRNA from 1 species